AACGCACAUUGCGCCCUCUGGUAUUCCGGGGGGCAUGCCUGUUCGAGCGUCAUUACAACCCUCAAGCCCAGCUUGGUAUUGGGUGCCGCCCUUUGGGGCGCGCCUGGAAAAUAGCGGCGGUGCGACCGGUGAUCAAGCGUAGUAACUACUCCCGCUUUGAGACACCCGGGCGUGCCUGCCGGACAACACCUAAUUUUUUCAAUGGUUGACCUCGGAUCAGGUAGGGAUACCCGCUGAACUUAA
rnacentral:misc_RNA from 1 species